rnacentral:rRNA from 1 species
AACGAACGCUGGCGGCAUGCCUAACACAUGCAAGUCGAACGAGGCCUUCGGGUCUAGUGGCGCACGGGUGCGUAACGCGUGGGAACCUGCCCUUAGGUUCGGAAUAACUCCCCGAAAGGGGUGCUAAUACCGGAUAAUGUCUUCGGACCAAAGAUUUAUCGCCUUAGGAUGGGCCCGCGUUGGAUUAGCUAGUUGGUAGGGUAAAAGCCUACCAAGGCGACGAUCCAUAGCUGGUCUGAGAGGAUGAGCAGCCACACUGGGACUGAGACACGGCCCAGACUCCUACGGGAGGCAGCAGUGGGGAAUAUUGGACAAUGGGCGAAAGCCUGAUCCAGCAAUGCCGCGUGAGUGAUGAAGGCCUUAGGGUUGUAAAGCUCUUUUACCCGGGAUGAUAAUGACAGUACCGGGAGAAUAAGCUCCGGCUAACUCCGUG